CAGUGGAAUCAGCAGAGAGGAAGGCUGUCCUCUGCCACUCAUAUUCACAAAUGGACAGGUUACAAGGAAAGUGGGAUCUCAUAAUCAGAAGCAGCAAAAUGCACUCGGUGCCCGAGGAACAGAGUGAAAGCUCAAGCUGUUCAUGCCUUACAUCUCUAAGAAGCCAAAUCCAGACCAAGUAAUCCACAGCAAACUGAACUCAUUGGCAAUGUCGAAACAAGAACCGCAGCCCUCCCACGCAGGAAACAACAAAAAAGGCCUUGACGCGAGCUGAGGACAUCCUAACCACACCCUGGAGGUGGCAAGUCCAUCCAAAUUGUUACCAGGAGAUUAAUAAAAACCACAUAUGAAAUUGA